rnacentral:rRNA from 1 species
GUGAGGAAUAUUGGACAAUGGGCGCAAGCCUGAUCCAGCCAUGCCGCGUGCAGGAAGACGCAUCUAUGGUGUGUAAACUGCUUUUGUACGGGAAGAAACACUCCCUCGUGAGGGAGCUUGACGGUACCGUAAGAAUAAGGAUCGGCUAACUCCGUGCCAGCAGCCGCGGUAAUACGGAGGAUCCAAGCGUUAUCCGGAAUCAUUGGGUUUAAAGGGUCCGUAGGCGGGUUAAUAAGUCAGUGGUGAAAGCCCAUCGCUCAACGAUGGAACGGCCAUUGAUACUGUUAGACUUGAAUUACAAGGAAGUAACUAGAAUAUGUAGUGCAGCGGUGAAAUGCUUAGAUAUUACAUGGAAUACCAAUUGCGAAGGCAGGUUACUACUUGUGGAUUGACGCUGAUGGACGAAAGCGUGGGGAGCGAACAGGAUUAGAAACCCGAGUAGUCC